rnacentral:rRNA from 1 species
GACGAACGCUGGCGGCGUGCCUAACAUGCAGUCGAGCGGACAGAUGGGAGCUUGCUCCCUGAUGUUAGCGGCGGACGGGUGAGUAACACGUGGGUAACCUGCCUGUAAGACUGGGAUAACUCCGGGAAACCGGGGCUAAUACCGGAUGGUUGUUUGAAUCGCAUGGUUCAAACAUAAAAGGUGGCUUCGGCUACCACUUACAGAUGGACCCGCGGCGCAUUAGCUAGUUGGUGAGGUAACGGCUCACCAAGGCGACGAUGCGUAGCAGGACCUGAGAGGGUGAUCGGCCACACUGGGACUGAGACACGGCCCAGACUCCUACGGGAGGCAGCAGUAGGGAAUCUUCCGCAAUGGACGAAAGUCUGACGGAGCAACGCCGCGUGAGUGAUGAAGGUUUUCGGAUCGUAAAGCUCUGUUGUUAGGGAAGAACAAGGUGCCGUUCAAAUAGGGCGGCACCUUGACGGUACCUAACCAGAAAGCCACGGCUAACUACGUGCCAGCAGCCGCGGUAAUACGUAGGUGGCAAGCGUUGUCCGGAAUUAUUGGGCGUAAAGGGCUCGCAGGCGGUUUCUUAAGUCUGAUGUGAAAGCCCC